rnacentral:tRNA from 1 species
GGUGGGGUGGCCGAGAGGCCAGGCAGCGGCCUGCGGAGCCGUCCACGCGGGUUCGAAUCCCGUCCCCACCUCCA